rnacentral:rRNA from 1 species
GGGUCAGUAGGUUGGUCGUGCCACCGGUACGUACUGGUCUCACUUAUUCCUCCUUCCUGAAGAACCGUAAUGCCAUUAAUUUGGUGUUGCGGGGAAACAGGACUGUUACUUUAAAAAAAUUAGAGUGUUUAAAGCAAGCUAACGCUUGAAUACAUUAGCAUGGAACAAUGAAAUAGGACGAUCGAUCCUAUUUUGUUGGUUUCUAGGAUUGACGUA